UAGAAAUUUCUAGGAAUGCGCUUGUCCAGAAGCGCACAAUAUUUUUAUAAAUUAUAACUACUGCGCAAAACGCAUGUACAUCUAUUUUGUUAAUAAAUAAUUUUCGUCGAAAUAGCCGGCGUCAAUCUACGACGAAAAAGACAUGAGAAACCCACCCUCCGGCGACGAGAUGUAUCGCGGUAUCGCGAUCCAACAUUCUUCCACUUAAUCCUGUCACUCUGAGAACAUUAACUUCGA